GGAGAGAUCGCCUAGCCCGGUUUAUGGCGCACGACUGGAACUCGUGUAUGGGUAACACCAUCGAGGGUUCGAAUCCCUCUCUCUCCGCCA
rnacentral:tRNA from 2 species